rnacentral:rRNA from 1 species
GCCCCAACAGCUAGCCCAACCCCCAAAACCCAACAACCAACAUUAAUACCCCCAAAACCCGGUAAGUGAACUAACAAACCAUUUUUCCCCCUGAGUAUCUGAGAAAGAAAAGGAUCCUAGGCGCCAUAGAAAGAGUACCGCAAAGGGAAAAGCUGAAAGGAGAAACUGAAACAAAUC